rnacentral:rRNA from 1 species
GCAUGCUCGAGCGGCAGCACGGGUGCUUGCACCUGGUGGCGAGUGGCGAACGGGUGAGUAAUGCACCGGAACGUACCCAGUAAUGGGGGAUAACUAUCCGAAAGGAUAGCUAAUACCGCAUACGCCCUGAGGGGGAAAGCGGGGGAUUCGUAAGAAUCUCGCGUUAUUGGAGCGGCCGAUGCCGGAUUAGCUAGUUGGUGGGGUAAAGGCCCACCAAGGCGACGAUCCGUAGCUGGUCUGAGAGGACGACCAGCCACACUGGAACUGAGACACGGUCCAGACUCCUACGGGAGGCAGCAGUGGGGAAUUUUGGACAAUGGGCGAAAGCCUGAUCCAGCCAUUCCGCGUGAGUGAAGAAGGCCUUCGGGUUGUAAA